rnacentral:rRNA from 1 species
UACGGGGGGAGCAAGCGUUGUUCGGAUUUACUGGGCGUAAAGGGCGCGGAGGCGGUUGUGCAAGUCAGUUGUGAAAUCUCCGGGCUUAACUCGGAACGGUCAACUGAUACUGCUCAACUAGAGUGCGGAAGGGGCAACUGGAAUUCUUGGUGUAGCGGUGAAAUGCGUAGAUAUCAAGAGGAACACCUGCGGCGAAGGCGGGUUGCUGGGCCGACACUGACGCUGAUGCGCGAAAGCUAGGGGAGCGAACGGG